rnacentral:lncRNA from 1 species
UUAUUCUCCAAGCUGCCGGUGGACUUUCUAGUCGCAAAUGCGCAAAUUAACGAACGACCACCCGCACACGAGGCACACACGGAUGUCUCUUUAAUCGUGUUUUCGAUAAUACGAAGAAAAUCGAUCGAGCACGUGUGCAUUUGCCACGGAAUGAUUUUAGGUAUAGCGUAAUACUAACCAGCACCAGGUGGCAGAGUAGCUUGAACCCUCGAUGUGGCGGAACUUUGUAAAACCAAGAUCGCUAUCUGCACGGCGGCACCAAGGGAAGAGGAAAAUGCCGUUCGUACGAAAGUCCAAAGUAGCAUCGCGCGUUGGCCGAUGAGCGGCCGAGCUCGUGCACCGCUCUACUGAACUAUGCCUCGACCCUUGCGCUAUACCUUGCGCUAUACCUUGUGCUAUACCUUUCCACCUCUCUUUACGAUUCCUCCUAUAUACAGGGUGUCGCGUCAAAUACUCAUAGAUGAUAAGUAUAAUAAGGAAAUAAAUGAGAGAGAAAAAACACAAAGGAAAGUAAAA